UGUUUUUCUGAACUAGAGAUGACAUCACUAGCAUCUGGUCUUUCUCUUUGAGACAGCCGAGAGAGUGAGGUGCCGUGAGAGAUGCAAUCGAUGGGGGGUGGAGAGAGGUAGCCGACAGUGAGAAUGGUAAGGAAGAACGGAGCGUAGUGAGAUUAGUGGAUUGGUGAGGAAGAGCGUGAGGGAGAGAAUGAGAGAGCAUGUGUUGUGGUUGAGAAUGUUGCAAUUGAGAAUUUACUGUGACCUUUUAUGCUUGCCUCAAAACUCACCGUUUUGUGCUAACUGUUGUACUCAAUGUUGUAAGAAUAUCGGAACUGUUAUAAAUUUGUUUCUAAAUAGAAAACUCUUUUGUGGAGUCAAUAUUUUGAAAACCAAAGUCUCGAGUUCUUUCUCGUGCGUGCCUGGCCAGCAUCCUAAACCUUACUGGUAGCCGGAGAAUGGCGUAAAACGGCGGCGAUCUUCUUCUUCAUCUUAUUCUCUCUGUCAUCGUUUCAGGUAACCUUGUGAUUAUGAGUUUCUUCUCUUUCUUAGCUUGCAAAAAUAGGUUUUGAUUUCUUUAAUUCGUAUUGUAGCCAUUAAUAUCAAAUUUUGUCCUGCCGGCAAUAUUUUUUUGUUCCUAGAGGUUGAAGCCCUUCUGUUCUUGUUCCAUUGGUGACUUUGCUCACUCAAAUUAAUUUUGUUCUGCAGAAUUUACAAAGUUCAAAUGGAUUCGUUUGGAUUACUAUUGAAUUUAGCUUUCAUUUCAACAUUCAUUCUAAUGUUUUACAAUUAUGUAUUUAGAUUUACUUUAAUUUUAUGUUUAAAGCUUCUGCAAUGAAUAGCUGAGCUUGGGUCUUAGUUUCAUUUUCUAAUUAACUUGUUUUAGUUUAUCUUAUAUGCUCACCAAGUGCUUGUUAUAUUGUCUGAUAGGUUAUAUAACAUAGCUGAUUAUAUAAUAAUAAUGUCAUGUUCCAUUUUCAGAAAUUAUAAUAUAAAAGUUUUUACAAUGGGGUGCAUCUACAAACUGAAUUGACUUGUAGAGUAAGAGCUUGGAGUAGUGUGCAUUCUUGAAUAAAUGAAAGUUCAUAUUGUGUAAGAGCAUGUAGAUGUAAAGCAUCAUUACCAUUUCUACCAAGUGCUUUCAUUCUGUUCAGAUGCUCCUCUUGAACUUUGGAAGGUGCCUCAUUCAAGUCCUAGCUAUAACUAAUUGCUCUGAUUAAUUAAGUUCAUAUGCUAGCUGAAACAGAUUUAAUUAAUUAAUUAAUUAAUUGUGUAUGUACUAAUUAUAUUGAAAGUAUAUGAAGAAAUUGUUUAACAUGAAUGACUUCUAAAUGACUUAAAAGCCUAGAGGAUAUGUGAAAUAAUGCUCAUUUCACUUGAACGAGCCUAUUAAUACUUGUAUGUCUAUGAUUGUCAAUAUUGCUUAAGUGUUUCAGUUAAGUGGUUUACCUAGCAGGGAAAAAAAUUUAAUGGAAAACCUUAGAGUUUUAAUAGAAAUAUAGUUGACUAUGCAGAUAUAGUUAUUUUACGGUAUAUAAAUCAUGUUGUCCUAUUCUCAAUGUCCUACAACCUAUUUUAUUUUAUAUAGUCAUUCAUUUUACGAUGGUUUUUUGUGUUUAUGAGUAUGGAAAUAGUGGGAUUUGGUGUACCUUAGCAUCUUUCGAAAAUUCUCUUUAAAUGCGGCAAACAGAAAUAUACAUAUAAUCAAGUUUCUUAAUCAUGUAUAUUAGGUUUGGGUGUGAAUGUUUUCCUAUUCUAGUUCUAGGCAAAGUUUCUUCAUUUUGGUCUUCAGAUUUCCAGUAGGUUAAGCUAAUCAACUAUCAUAACUGGCUAGCUAGUUAUUGCCUGCCUUGUCGCCAUUACCGACGCCAUUACAUUGCAUGGCAUAGGGAAUAGUAACUAUGUGAUUAUUGGUGAUUUGUUGAGCUUAUUAUUGACCAAACAAACAUAUUCGCCUUUACCCACAACUUGGUUUGAUUAGUUACUGGACAAUAAAGAGCCUUAAUCUAUGCAUUGGCUUUCUUAUUUUUAUUUGGUUUUUCUUUCAACAAUAUUGUUGAUUUCUUAUAUCAUUGGCUAUUUAAUGAAGCUAAUUAAAACUAAGGCUUCGGAUCACUUUCUUCUAACAACAAACAAAUGAGGAUAACCUAUCUCCUCUAAGCAAAUUUUUCUAAUAUCCUUGAUUUGUUAGGACCUGGAGGCCUGAAAUCCUCUAGAUUUUUUUAGCACUGCCAAUGUUCCUUUUAUUCUGAAAAGGAAAAAAAGGUUAUAUCGUUUAUACCCUAACAGUAAAAUGGCCUUUGACUUAACAUGCCUUCCUGAGGAUUUGCAAGAUUCACAAGCAGCCUAGCCACCCCCCAACGCAAAAAAAAUAAAAAAAAUAAAAAACUAAUAAAAAUAAAAAAUAAAACAACCCAAAUAGGAAGACUUUGCAACAUUCACAACGUGGUUACAUUUAAGUUAUUAAUUGUGUGUGUGUGUACUAGUUAUAUGUUGAUAGUAUAGGAAGAAGUAUUUUAACAUGGAUGACUUAAAACUUAUUGCUCAGUAAACAUAGUCUGCAUCAGUGCUAGAAAAUGUAUUUAUUGUUUGUAUUUUUUAUGGUUUUGAUUAAGAAAUGAAAUGUGAAAAAAUGCUACAUUGUAUUAGGAAUAAAUUGAAGAGAUUUAUGAUAUUUAUGUGUUAUUCAAGUUUCAGAUUCAAUUUUAAACUUUUGAUACAUGCAUUGAAAGCUUAAACUCCUUUAAGAAGUUAUUGAUAGACACAUGUUUUAUUAGUGUCAUCUUUGGAUGAUAGUGAGGAUCUUAUGUCUAUUAAUAAUUCUUGAAUUAUCCAGGCUCGGACAUUUUGGUAAUGCAUAGUUUUCUAUGGUAGCUAGUACCUGAAAUUUUUUUCCCACUAAAAAUGGGCUUUUCAGUAGCUGCUCCUCAUAUUCUGGGUGCAUACUAGACGAAUGGGUGUCGUUUUGUUUUGGGAUAACACAUAAACACUCAUAUAUCUAUGUCAUGUACUUGAAGAACUAUAGGGAGAUGCUUCCGAAAUUUCUAUAAACGUAGAGGAAAACUUUAGAUACUUAAGAUUGAAGAAACUUAUGCAUUCUUGAGUGGGAUAUAGAGGACCACUUACCUUUUGUAAUAUGAAGGGAAUGUUGGAUAUAUUGAUGGGAGUGGAGGAGCUGAGUGGGAUGAAUGUAAUCGGUUAUGAUUUUGCUGAGUUGACUUGGUUUUGAGUCUUGUAAUUUUGUUUAUAAAUGGAGUACUAUCUCCAAUGUUGGUUUAUAAAUAUUGUUUCAGCUGGCUGACCUAAUUUUUUAUUUCUAGGUAACAGGCUUUAUAUAUUCGUAAUUGAUAGCCAAGUGAAGUUCUCAGCAGUGGGUGAGGAUAUUUCUUUACAGAAGGUAUUGGAAACUGUUUUUCACAUUAAUUAGUAUUGUAUACAUACUUUAAUUUCACAUCUUUUUCUCUGAUUCUUGUGGCUUUGCUUGCUUUCAUAUAUAUAAACAUUCUAAUGAGAUUAACAUAAAAUUGUAUAAUGAUUUUUUUUAAUUAUAAAUUGCGCGCACACGAAAAUAUCUUGUUUAGUAGUAGAAAUGAAGAACUAAAAUGAUUUAUUUAACUAAUUUUUCUAGUGCAUUAAAAGGAGAUAGUCAUGGACAAGAGUUGGGUUGGUUUGCCAAAUAGAUAUCCAAGUCAUAUACUGAUGGGGUUGAAAAAUUUAUAGAUUUUGCAUUUGAGAAUGUUGUUGGUGAUAAAAGAAUUUAUUGUCCUUGUAAGAAGUGUCGUAAUAUCGAUAUUUCAUUAUAAGGGAAGUGGCAAGAGACCAUAUCAUUACAAAUGGCUUUUGGUUAAAGUAUUGAAACUGGAUAUUGCAGGGUGAGCCAUCUUCAUCUUUGAAAUCUAACUAAGAAACAGGUUAGUCAUGACUCGGGUGCUGAUGAUAGUAUGGUUGGAGUGAUACACGAUGCAUCACAUAAUCAAGUGUUCAAGUUACACACAGCAUUGUUAUGUUAUGGACUAUCAGUGACUUUCUAACAUAUGCCAACUUGUUUGGGUAGAGUAUUAAAGGUAAAUAAGCAUUUCUUGUUUGCCAACAAAACACUAGAUCUAAUUGGUUGAUACAUAAUAGAAAAUUUUGUUACUGGGUUACGGUCGAUUCUUACCAACGAAUCAUAGGUUUCGAAAAUAUAGUGUCUUUUGAUAAAACUAGGGGGUAGGGAUAAGCGCCUUCUCGGUUGUCUUGAACUGACGUGAAAAAGCAGGUGAAUAAUAUAUUUACUAAG
rnacentral:lncRNA from 1 species